UCUAGAACAUGAGAUAUGGAUUGAACACUGAACACUGUCCAGAUUUGGACUCUAAAACGGCAGAAUUGAGUCUUGGACUCUUCAUUAAUGUUUUAGGCCCCUGACUUAGCUUUUUAGC
rnacentral:pre_miRNA from 1 species